GGGGAAUAUUGCGCAAUGGGGGAAACCCUGACGCAGCAAUACCGCGUGAGUGAAGAAGGUUUUCGGAUCGUAAAACUCUUUUAUUGGGGAAGAAGAAGUGACGGUACCCAAUGAAGAAGUCCCGGCUAACUACGUGCCAGCAGCCGCGGUAAUACGUAGGGGACAAGCGUUGUCCGGAAUCACUGGGCGUAAAGGGCGCGUAGGCGGUUUUAUAAGUCAGAUGUGAAAGGUACCGGCUCAACCGGUGACGUGCAUUUGAAACUGUAAGACUUGAGUACUGGAGAGGCAAGUGGAAUUCCUAGUGUAGCGGUGAAAUGCGUAGAUAUUAGGAGGAACACCGGUGGCGAAGGCGGCUUGCUGGACAGAGACUGACGCUGAGGUGCGAAAGCGUGGGGAGCGAAC
rnacentral:rRNA from 1 species